rnacentral:rRNA from 1 species
UACGAAGGGGGCUAGCGUUGCUCGGAAUUACUGGGCGUAAAGGGCGCGUAGGCGGGUCGUUAAGUCAGGGGUGAAAGCCCAGAGCUCAACUCUGGAAUUGCCUUUGAGACUGAGUGGCUUGAGUACGAGAGAGGUGAGUGGAAUUCCCAGUGUAGAGGUGAAAUUCGUAGAUAUUGGGAAGAACACCGGUGGCGAAGGCGGCUCACUGGCUCGUAACUGACGCUCAUGCACGACAGCGUGGGGAUCAAACAGG